rnacentral:rRNA from 1 species
UACGUAGGGCGCGAGCGUUGUCCGGAAUUAUUGGGCGUAAAGAGCUCGUAGGCGGUUUGUCGCGUCUGCUGUGAAAACGCGAGGCUCAACCUCGCGCCUGCAGUGGGUACGGGCAGACUAGAGUGAUGUAGGGGAGACUGGAAUUCCUGGUGUAGCGGUGAAAUGCGCAGAUAUCAGGAGGAACACCGAUGGCGAAGGCAGGUCUCUGGGCAUUAACUGACGCUGAGGAGCGAAAGCAUGGGGAGCGAACAGG